rnacentral:tRNA from 1 species
GCAUGUGUUGGCAUCGGUCUCCAAAACCGAGUGUCGUGAGUUCGAAUCUUACUGCCCCUGCCA